rnacentral:lncRNA from 1 species
AUGUCCAGUUCUAACUGUUGCUUCCUGACCUGCAUACAGAUUUCUCAAGAUUUCUCAAGAGGCAUACAGAUUUCUCAAGAGGCAGGUCAGGUGGUCUGGUAUUCCCAUCUCUUUCAGAAUUUUCCACAGUUUAUUGUGAUCCACACAGUCAAAGGCUUUGGCAUAGUCAAUAAAGCAGAAAUAGAUGUUUUUCUGGAACUCUCUUGCUUUUUCCAUGAUCCAGCGGAUGUUGGCAAUUUGAUCUCUGGUUCCUCUGCCUUUUCUAAAACCAGCUUGAACAUCAGGGAGUUCACGGUUCACGUAUUGCUGAAGCCUGGCUUGGAGAAUUUUGAGCAUUACUUUACUAGCAUGUGAGAAGAGUGCCAUUGUGUGGUAGUUUGAGCAUUCUUUGGCA